GCUGAAUUAAACAUGCUUGGUGUCUUCGCUUCGGCAAGGCCCUUGCUUAAAUCACAUCCUAACACCUGUGAACUGUAAGACGUAUGAUGAGGUCUUUGGCCAAGUCAUCGUCUGCCCAUUUUUAACAAACAAUUAAUGUAACAAACGUAGUCUUAUUAUAACCUAAUA
rnacentral:misc_RNA from 1 species